rnacentral:lncRNA from 1 species
CUAGACACAGAGUGGCUGAAAAGCAGGAAAUAGAACUGCCAAACCAGCUUAUGAAGAUUUCUAUUAAUACAGAAAUUAAUAGAAAUACAGAUGCAUUCUUAUGAAGACUAUUCCAGGGAAAUCACAACGUGUCUCAAUGCUCAUUGUGGUCACCAUAAUUGAUAAGGGAUACACAAACCACUGUGUCCAAAGUGGUACCCCACGGUCUGUGCGCCAAAGCUCCUGGCAGCGUGCUUUGCAGACAGUCGGCACAAGAAACUGUGAGAAGUUUGCUUCAGCAUUAGGAAGGACACUAACUUGUGCAGAAACAACUCCAAGGAUGGAGGAACACUUUGCAAAUCUUCAGGGUGUGGUAAACAACAGGCUAUACUAACGCCAGCUAAGCUAGUCGUGAGGCCUGAGUGCAGCCGGGAGGCGGGGCCGAGCGAAGAGUCAGGACUAGAGGGCUCCGACGCGCCCCAGCGGGGCCCGCGGACCCGGAACUCGG